UCUUUCUUUGCACGUGAAUCGAUGUAAAGUAUAAUAAAUUUAAGUAACUUGCGGUGCUUUGGUGAGCGGAGUCUACUUUUGAAAGUGAGCAAUACAAUCCACUGCUCAAACGUGACGUGCGAGUUAGCUGCUAUUACAUAUUUGGGACGCUAAGUUCACAAUAAGCGCUUGGUUAAUUUGUUAAUAACCCAGCAUUUAUUUGGUGCUCCAUUACUUAAGGCAAGACUACUCUGCCGGGAGUGUUCUGUAAAGUCUUGUCUAAAUAUGUUGAAACUAAGUGUAUUACCCACCCAGCACCAGACGUCAUUUGGACGUCGUUUUCUGGUCUAAAUCAAGUCGGCCCGUCAUGGCCAUCUUUUAGACCAAAAAGCGACGUUGAAAAUUGGUCUUCAUUUGGUCCGUCGGAUUUGGUCCAAAUUAAGCCCAAAAAACGACGUUGAAAAUUGGUCUUCGUUUGGUCCGUCGGAUUUGGUCCAAAUUAAGCCCAAAAAGCGACAUUUAACGUCUUUUUUUCUUUUCUUUUUUUUUCUUUAGCCCAAAAAUAGAUGUAAAUGGGCUUUAGUCCAAAUUUAGCAGAAAAAAAACUUUUAUUUCGCACCACAAAGCCAUUAACAUAAACUAGUGAAGAAAUUAGACAUCAUGUCUGAUCGCACUGUUAAAUAUAUUUAAAUAUAUUUUGAAAACACUUGAUGGUCACGCGCUGUACUGGAGUCACCAUGGAAACGGGGCUCAGCUCAACCGUCAAGCAGCUGAACAGACGCUGUCUCUCAUGGUUGUUUUCACUAAUUUCAGUUUAUAGAAAUGGUCAGUGUCUUCAUGAAAAGUCCGUUAGCAUCUCAACUGUAAUGCUAACUACAAGAGAUUCUUCCAUGCUGAUGGCCGUGCCUGUAUCCAGCUGAAGAACAUUUUUAGACAUUAUUAAACAUAUAACUAAGACUGAAAAUCAUUGAUAAACCACAAGCUCCAACCCCAGUUAAGCAGACCUGAGCAGCCGAUCAAGGAUCAGCAGAAACUCUGCAGAACGGUGGUCCUCCAGCCCAGGACUGGACACCAGUGUUAUGCUGCAGAAAAAAGAGCGAGGCUAAAGCAUUCAAAGUGGAAACAUCUGCCGUGGCUCAUUAAUCCAGAAUUGGGAUGGAAGAAGGAGCAGAAGAAGCAGAAGAUCAGAGAUCAGGCAGAGAUCUACUGGUGCCCCUGUGGGAACCCCAUUUACCUAAUGUGUUAGUUUAACCAAAGAUUUUCCUCACUCACCUUUAUGUUGUUCCAAACCAGACUUUUGUUCAUCCUUGAAACAUAAAUGCGGAACUUUUUAAUGAAAUCUGAGAUUAUUUUCUUUAUAUAAAAUAACACAUUCACACAAGCACCAUGAUGCAUCAGUGUUGCAUUGGUGUGAGAGCUGGCGCUUUUGGUGCUUUUGUGAAAAUCCAUUGGGGAGUCAUAAUUUCUGAAUAGAUUAUUUUUGCUGUUGUUAUUGUUUGUUUGUUUUUUUUUGUACACAAGGCAUCUGUUAAAAAAAUAUCUUAAUUUGUGUUCUGCACAAAAGGGUGUUAUGGGUUUGGGGCAACAUGAGGGUAAGUAAUUAAUGACAGAAUUAAAAUUUUUGGUUGUUCUAAUGUGGUUAUAAUUGGUCAUAGUUUAUUUGUCUUGAAAAAAUAUAUUUAUACAGAAACAUGGAUUAAUUUGAUAAGUUUAUAGUAAAGCCUUUUAAAUUGAUUAAAAAAAAAAUCUAAAUAAAUACUACUCUUUUGCAAGGUCUAUUCAAAAAAUAUGGACAAAUGUAAUGGUUUCCACAAAAUAUUUGGCAGCACAACGGUUUUAAACUGAUAAUAAUCAGAAAUGUUUCUUGAGCAGCAAAUCAGUAUAUUAUAAUGAUUUCUGAAGAUCAUGUAAUACUGAAGACUGAAGUAAUUGUGUUAAAAAUUUCAGUUUACAGGCAUAAAUUACAUUCUACAAUGCAUCCACAUAGAAAACUAUUAUUUCUGUAGUUAUAUUUCACAAUAUUACAGUUUUUACGGUCUGUUUAAUCAAAAGAAGCUUAAGAUGUGAUCAAGAUUUUACAUGAAAGAUGUAAUGUGUCAAUAAAUGUGUCAAUAUAC